CAGGUUAUAGCUUAAUAAGUUUUUUAUUUACAUUAAAAGGGUAAUUGUUAAUACAAUUUAACUUGA
rnacentral:tRNA from 1 species